CGGGGUGAGUAACGCGUGGGUAACCUACCCUGUACACACAGAUAACAUACCGAAAGGUAUGCUAAUACGGGAUAAUAUAUUUGAGAGGCAUCUCUUGAAUAUCAAAGGUGAGCCAGUACAGGAUGGACCCGCGUCUGAUUAGCUAGUUGGUAAGGUAACGGCUUACCAAGGCGACGAUCAGUAGCCGACCUGAGAGGGUGAUCGGCCACAUUGGAGCUGAGACACGGUCCAA
rnacentral:rRNA from 1 species